UGUGCCUCGUCACAUUGCAUAUUCUAAUUUAUGGAACAUGUCAGUCUCUGCUGUGGCUGUUGCUAGGGCGACCAAGCCCCCUUCAAAUUUUAUACCGACGUCCUGCGUGAGAAGACCAUGUUGCAGACAGUGAACAGUGGGGGAUUUACUGGGUUUGAGGAAAAAAUGACUCUAAGGAUGAAAGAAAGAAAAGGGGGGGGGGGCUGCGGAGGACGGGAAAAUGUCAAAAGGUUUGAUUUUUGGUCUGUAAGGACCCUAAUCCAAUUAUGAGACAUCUGAACUGUCAAAUCUGGAACAUGCAAUGGACGUUAGACCUCUGACUUUUCGCCAGAAAAGGAUCGUUAUGGGCAAAACACGAUUUGACCUCUGACCCUCGCAGGGCUGCAGUUCUAAUUCCUUCCUCCUGCUCCCUAAACAACACUGGGUCAGUCGUGACCCCCCUCGGGGUAAAGAUGACCAACUGGAGAUGAAACUUUGGCUACCACGACUGCGUGCGUCUGGACGGAGAACGCCAUAAGAUGUUCUGGUUUGCAUGAGCAAAAGUAAAUAUAGAUUAAUCACGGCAACAAAAUGUAGCUAUAUAAACCAGAGGAUCAUCUACAAGCAGAGGGGAAGAAAAAAACAAAACAAAACAAAAGCAACAAAGACGGUUUACAAGAGCUGCUGAAAAUAAGACAGAAGUAAGACUCUUGGUUUGGUUUCAGGGGUCGUAAAGAGAUCCUGACAGGACUGUUUAUCCGUUCGCGCAUAGAAAUGGGUCUGGGAGGCAGAUGUUCAAUGACCCAAUCUCUUUGUGUGUGUGUGUGUGUUUGCUUUUGGUUGAGCAUAAAUCUGAGCAUUUAACAAAGAUCCCUCGCUAUAUUGACAUUGUAAUACGUGUCGUCGACUAAAGAACGUCUGCCUUCUGUGUUUUGUAAUGGAGGUUUAGUUUUUCUGUUCUCUCUUCAAUGCGUGUCUCAAUGCAAAUAAGCAAAAUAACAUACAGCAGCACCAUUCUCAUUCUGACUCGGUUUGCUGUUGCAGUGCAGAGAUAUUUAUCGUCGGGUCAGAAACCUCGAUAGCAACCUAACAAACCGACAGUCAGUCCAGGAAAUUAAAUGCACUGCAUGGCGAGUGCGGUGUGUCUUUAAAUCACGACUGGCCACAUGUGACCAAAACUGUGAUUUAAAAAAAAAAUAAAACUUUGGAGGCAUUAACACUUCACUCUUUUUAACCACCGUGUCACUAAAAUGCUUCGUAUUAGUAAUUCAUGUGGUUGUGUUAAAGUGUGGUUUGACCCAGAUUUCCACUGAGCUGGUUAAAACUAGCUAAAGUAAAUGUUACACCUGUGC